GUGAUAUGUGAAGCUGACCAAUACUAAUUGCUCGUGAGGCUUGACUAUACAACACCCA
rnacentral:rRNA from 2 species